AAAAAUUCCCUCCCAACCCGAUUCCUCUUCCAAUUUCAAACUCCCCCUAAAUUUUUUGUGCUUGUAUUCCUCUCCCUCCAUUUUCUUCCGUAAAUCAAUUUCCUCUCAACUCAUUCUCUUCACACACCUCUUCAACUCAAAAUCCUAGCUCAUGAUCCAGAAUAACAAAGCAAGUACAUGUCUCAAAGCUCGGACGUGAACCACCAUUCUAACCCAACCCGUUACCUAUUAGUUUCGGUCAAAACAAGGUCUUCGAUUGCAAAAAUAGAUUUAGGGUUCCGACUAGAGAGAUUUAGUAAGGAGCGAUACUGGAGUAAAUGCGCAUAAGUCGAAGACGUGAGAGGAAUCUGGAAAAGCUUAGGCUUCUUCCAAAGGAAAUGCAUAGAACCCCAAUUGGCCAAUUCUUCUUUCUCUAUCUAAUUCGUUCUGAUUUACCUUCAAAAUCUGAUUGGUUGAUAUGUCUGCUGGUGGUCAACUUGAAGCCAACAAGAAAGCUAUGAAGAUCCAGUGAUAUGGCUGAAGCAAUUGAUUUGACUGGAUAUGGAGGUGUUUUGAAGAUGCUUGUGAAGUGAAGAGUGCUAAAAAUCUGAUACUAUUGCUCCUUCAGAGAGUCUUCCUCUUGUUGAUGGUAAUGUUAUUCUACACUUCUAGACUAAAACUGUUUGCUAAUCUGGAUCUGAUCCGAGUUUCAUUGUUUUGAAUUGGUGAUAAUAUCCAACACUACUGAGAUAUAUGUUUGUUGUUGCUCAUCAUCUACCAUGCUCGCGGGUUAUAUAUAUGUCAAACAUGUUACGCGGCAAUAAAGUUGAAUUCUUAUUGUUUAGGUGAUAGACACAACAUUGUCAUGUGUUUAUUUGUAUCACACACAUUAUAAUAUUAAUGGACCGUUGAUUAUGAACAUGGGAUGGGGUGUGUGGACUGUUGGACAGUGCAUUAUGAAGGAAGUCUGGCUGAAAUAGGUGAAGUUUUUGAUACUACACAUGAGGACAAUACAAUUUUCACUUUUGAACUUGGCAAGUGCCCUGUGAUUAAGACAUGGGACGUUGCUUUAAGAGCAAUGAAGGUUGGCCCAUUUUUUACCUAGCAGCACAGGUUUCAAAGCCUCUUCACAUCUCAGUAUCCAAAACUGACCAACAAACUUCAUUUUGGCGAAAGCUGGUUGGGGAGGUUGCCAAAAUAACUUGCAAGUCAAAUUAUGCCUCUGGUAGCACUGGUUCUCCGCCAGAUAUUCCACCAGAUGCAACUCUUAUCUUUGAGGUGGAGCUGGUGGCUUGCGGGCCAAGAAAAGGUUCUCGCGUCGCUAACGCCAUAGAUGAAAGGGCUAGACUAGAUGCAGCUAAGGUUGUUUUGAAUGGGGAUUUGAGGAGGAUGCGGUCUAUUUCGAUUACUUGGAAUUAGAUUAGUGACUCCAAGGAACUGCAGUGGUUAGUUUUAUUGCACCGCCUUCAAGUCAGAUAUUUACAAGUUCAUAAUCUCAAUUUUUAGGUUGGGGAGGUUGCCAAAAUAACUUGCAAGUCAGAUUAUGCUUAUGGUACCACUGGUUCUCCGCCAGAUAUUCCACCAGAUGCAACUCUUAUCUUUGAGGUGGAGCUGGUGACUUGCAGGCCAAGAAAAGGUUCUCGCGUCGCUAACGCCACAGAUGAAAGGGCUAGACUAGAGUAAGUUAUGUAUCUAACUUUAUACACUUGAACAUAUAAUUGGAUGGGGGUGUAAACUAGCUGGGCCGAGUCCGAGCCUGACUAUGCUUGAGCUCGGCUCGGUUUGAGCCUACUUAUUUGAGCUCGAGCUCGGCUUGUGAGUAAAACCCAAAGCUUGAGCUUGGCUCGAGCUAUUUUGAGAACAACCUCAACGAGCUAAAAGCUAGGCUCGAGCUCGCUUCAAUGUUGCUUAAAUGAGCCAAAGUUCAGCUCGAGCUUGGCUCGCUAAUCUUAUCAUUAUUAUACAAUAUAUAAAAACUAAAAAAUUGGUUGGGCUCGUUUAGGCUCGCGUGCCUAGACGAGCCUUGUACUUUUAGGCUUGAGCUCGAGCUUGAUAACUUAUGAGCUCUAUUUCAGGCUUCAAGGCUCGGCUUGUUCGAGCUUUUAACCGAGCCAAUAACGAGCAGCCUUGAGCCUUUGACCUUGUUUACACCCCUAUUUGCAUGCUCAAAUGGAUCAUGUUUAAUAACUAGUGAGCUGAAGAGGCAAAGGGAAAUGGUUGCUGCACAGAAGGAAGAAGAGAAAAUGAAGUGUGAAGUAGCAAAGGCAGCAGUUGUUCCUCGUAUGCAAGUAGAGAGUAUGUGGACUUGAAGAAAACAACCAAGAAAUAACUCUUAGCUUUUGUGUACAUUUGUUUCUCUUUGCAACUUAUAUAGAUAGGCUAUGAUUAGAAGUUUAUGUCUUUAAUUAAUAUUUAAAUUGAAUGUAAGAUUAAAUAUAUUACGUAUUAA